CUGUCAGCCGUACAGGCCCAUCAAUCAAACUGCAGAAUGCAGGUGGAGGUGUCCUCACUUGGCCUAAAGCAAGAUAUCAGAGCACGACUGGUGACAGCAUUCUGCGGCACGGAGGAGGUCAUGUGAGGACAGCCGAACCAACUUCAUUACGACUAACGAUUGCUUUCUCAAUUAAUU